GCCCAGGCCAGAAUCUCAGAGGAGGCCACAGGUCCCCGGUACGCUCUGAUGGGGCAGCCUCCAUGGGGGAUCCCUGGGCCCUGAACACCCUCCUUUCUCACUGUCCCUCCCUCCCCUGCAAAGGGCAUCCUCAGCUGCUUCUGAAACCUGGGGGGCUGUGGUGGGAAACAGCCCGGACAGGCUGUUCUCAACACUCUCUACUGCAAACUACACACAGUUUUACGUCGCCAGAAAGACCCCAAAUUUCUAUUCAAAAAGACGGUACCAGUUUCAGUUCCCACCAACCUCAAAGGCAGAGACAAAAGGACGGUGCGCCCUCCUGUAACUUCAUUUCUUCGGUGACUGUGAAGCUGAGGGCAGAGUCCACGCCUGGGGACAGGGCUGCCACCGCAGCGGCCACCGCGCCCGACGCUCGCUCCUCCUCCCAGAGACCACCUGCGUUCCGCUCAGGGACAGGGCUGCCAACGCAGCGGCCACCGCGCCCGACGCUCGCUCCUCCUCCCAGAGACGACUUGAGCUCUGCUCAGAAGCGGCACCUCCUCAUGCUGGACUCACUCGGGCCCGCAUGUGCCAAGGGGGCCUGGUUUUGGGGCCGGCGGGUUCUGCCUGAUGCUCAGAGGGUAACUGGAUGCUGAAUUUGGGGCCGGCGGGUUCUGCCUGAUGGUCAGAGGGUAACUGGAUGCUGAAAACUGUGAGUCUUUCUUCAACUCAGGGGAAUGUUUCCAGCGCAGGCCAGGCCUCACUCACGCAGGCCUCCGUGACAACUGUUCAGCACUGACUGAGGGUGAAGUGAAAUCCUGAAAGCUGAGAGCCAGCGCCCUCACACGAAGGCUGGGACGUAACAAAAGCCCACCAAGAGUUUUGCCCAGGGCUUUCUUGGGCCUUGAAGCGUGACGAGACCAGGACCCGUUUAGGAUUAAACAAGUUUUAUUGGGGGUCUGAAAAAACUCCCCAGGCCUCCACAAACAAGUGGAGAAGGAACUCCCCAGGCCUCCAUGAUUUAGCAGAAGACAAGAUAAGGGUAAACACCUGGGCCCAUUUAGAUCAAGUAAAUAUACUGAGUCUCCAGAGGAAGAUCUCCAGGACCAGACCUCAGUUAGAGAUGAGAAGAAUUGAAUCACGCACGUCUUUAGACGAAUGCACACUGACACGGAGACACAGAGCUUAGAAGGUGUGUAAGCUCUGGAAAAACUCUGUAAUCUGGAGUUGGUCUGGCGAUCAUUUCCAGGCCUUCUCCCUGUAACCAGUUACAGAAAUAAAAUCCCUCUUCUUCCCCAGUU
rnacentral:antisense_RNA from 1 species